rnacentral:tRNA from 1 species
GCGGACUUGGCGUAGAGGCAACGUACUGGUCUUCCAAACCGGGGUCGGGAGUUCGAUCCUUCCAGUCCGCACCA